rnacentral:rRNA from 1 species
UGAGGAAUUUUGCUCAAUGGGGGAAACCCUGAAGCAGCGACGCCGCGUGGAGGAUGAAGUUUUUCGGAAUGUAAACUCCUGUCAGUGGGGACGAUAAUGACGGUACCCACAGAGGAAGCCCCGGCUAACUAUGUGCCAGCAGCCGCGGUAAUACAUAGGGGGCGAGCGUUGUCCGGAUUUAUUGGGCGUAAAGGGCACGUAGGUGGCAAGCUAAGUUGGAUUUGAAAGAUCAGGGCUCAACCCUGAUUUGGGUUCAAAACUGGCUUGCUAGAGAGUAGGAGAGGGAAGUGGAAUUCACGGUGUAGCGGUGAAAUGCGUAGAUAUCGUGAGGAACACCAGUGGCGAAGGCGGCUUCCUGGACUACUUCUGACACUAAGGUGCGAAAGCGUGGGGAGCAAACAGG